UACAGAGGUCCCAAGCGUUGUUCGGAUUCAUUGGGCGUAAAGGGUGCGUAGGCGGCGCGGUAAGUCGGGUGUGAAAUCUCGGAGCUUAACUCCGAAACUGCAUUCGAUACUGCCGUGCUCGAGGACUGGAGAGGAGACUGGAAUUUACGGUGUAGCGGUGAAAUGCGUAGAUAUCGUAAGGAAGACCAGUGGCGAAGGCGGGUCUCUGGACAGUUCCUGACGCUGAGGCACGAAGGUCAGGGGAGCAAACGGG
rnacentral:rRNA from 1 species